rnacentral:tRNA from 1 species
GGUUGUGGCUCAGCGGUAGAGCACUCACCUCGAACGUGUGAGACCUUGGGUUCGAUACUCAGCACCA